rnacentral:lncRNA from 1 species
GGAUUCUGGACCUUAUCCAGAAGGGAAUUAUAAUCCAGUGGAGGGUUUUAAGCAGGAUCAGAUGGGCCUUUAGAUUCUAAAGUUCCAGAAAGACCAUGCAGCACAGAGUGGACAGAGCAGCCAGGAAACCAUGGGAGGCCCCAGGAGGGAGACGUGGGGGGCCUCGGCAAGACUGGUAAUGUGACGAGGAGGAGAGGGGGCUGGAUUCAAGAGGUUUUUAGGAGGGAAGUGUGGCAGUGGGAGGAGAGGCCAGGGUGGGGAUGUGCCCGCCGGGUCCCUGGCUGAGGCAGCUGGGGGAUGGAGGCCCUGGCCACAGCCCACCAGGCCACACUGGUUACGGUCUCCUCAGACAGACCCGGCUGCUGCUGUCAUUCACUGCCACUCCCUCAGCCUUGUGGUGGCCUUGUCAACCAAGGAGAAGGCCAGGCCUGUGUCUUCCAGCUGUGUCCCCCUCCACUCCCACCGCCCAGCCAGAGACAGGUCCAUGGCAUAAGCCGGCCGUGGAAGUCCAGACCGAGCUCAACCGCCAGCUACCUUUCAGCCAGGAAAGGGUCAUCGGUCAAGGUGACCGACAGGUGGAGAUGACACUUGGGCUGUAAAUGCAGCGAGAGGACCAGCGUGGCGCCCUCCUCGAAGCUGCCCAGGCCUCCACCAGCCCCGACGUCUUGCAGCCUCCCCGGGCCCUUCUCCCCACGGCCACCUGGAUGCCUCCUCUUCGCUUGAUUCAGCUUCUCUUUCUCUUUUUCCUCAUGCGCUGGCGCGUUCCCACCC